GAUGAUUAAAAUUGCCCUGAGAGAGCUGAUCUUUCAGAAAUCAAGUUAUUCUCGAGACGAAUCAAAACUCAACGAUGGGUUAUAAGACGACAUCCGUUAUCAGUGGACUAGUUUGGGUCCUGUCCAUUCUUGGUUUGGAGGUGAAAGGAACGAACCGACGGUAUGGAUAUCAACCUCAGUACCUCGCUGACAGCCCUGAUCUGAUGCAACAGAUUCAAAAGAGUGUCCGUCGACCUGUUGAACUACAAACGCAGAUAUUCCAGAAUGCUCUUGAUUCAACAGGGUCAGGAAGGCACUGCAAAAGCAGACCUCUGGACUUGGUCUUCAUCAUAGACAGCUCCCGUAGUGUUCGGCCUGCAGAGUUUGAGAAGGUCAGAAUCUUUUUGACCGACAUGGUGGACACACUGGAUAUUGGCAUGGAUUCCACGAGAGUGGCUGUCGUCAACUAUGCCAGUACAGUAGAAAUCGAGUUCCUACUCAGGACGCACUCGGACAAGUCAAGCUUGAAGCAGGCCCUCAGCCGGAUCGAUCCCCUGUCCACCGGCACCAUGACGGGUCUUGCCAUCAAAACGGCCAUGGAGCAAGUCUUCACGGAGGAGUCUGGGGCCCGUCCCACAUCACAGAGCAUCGCCAAGGUGGGCAUCAUUGUGACUGACGGCAGGCCCCAGGAUACGGUAGAAGAGGUGGCCGCCUUGGCGCGCGCAUCAGGAAUUGAAAUGUAUGCAGUAGGUGUGGACAGGGCUGACAUGCAGUCUCUCCGUCUCAUGGCCAGCCUGCCGCUGGAAGAGCAUGUCUUCUAUGUGGAGACCUAUGGGGUCAUUGAGAAACUCACGUCCAAGUUUAGGGAGACCUUGUGUGGUAAGGAAACAGAAGCAACACCCAUAAUGAAUGCAGACAAUGGUGCGUCUUCCGCUCAAGACACAUUUGAAAGUCCUCCUAGGGAAAAUGACUCCUUGUGGGCUGAAGGUGUGGACGCUUGCUCCCUUGGACAUGAUUGCCAGCACAUAUGUAUCAACAACAAAACCUCUUACUACUGCCAGUGUCGAGAGGGCUAUGUGUUGAAUACCGACAAGAAAACAUGCUCACUUGCAGGUGUGGACGCUUGCUCCCUUGGACAUGAUUGCCAGCACAUAUGUAUCAACAACCAAAACUCUUACUACUGCCAGUGUCGAGAGGGCUAUGUGUUGAAUAUCGACAAGAAAACAUGCUCACGUAAGAAUGUUAAAUGGGUGUUAUUUAGAGGUCGGUUUUGUAAUGGAAGGUGCUAUGGUUUCAGAAAUGAGUUGACUUAACAUGAACCCGGUGCAUUGCAUUGAGAUCCUCCAUUGGCAUAUUUACUGGAGACACCCUUGACCCAAGAAGAGGCAUCGCCAUGGAAGUAUGAUUCAUACAUGGUGUGGAGCUGUGCAGUGCGUACAUGUGUAAAUAAGACAGUGUUCAUUUUUCAACCGGAGCGCUGAAGAUUGAUAGCUGAGCCACAAUAAGGAGUGUUGAAAACGAUGAGCAUAAGGAGCUUUAAUAAUGAAAAGUUGGAUCCAAAAGAGGACUACAGUGCAAAUUGACUGACUUGCUUCUCCUGGUCUGAUGCAUCAGUCACAAAUUGCAUUGGGGUUUUCCAUUUUUUGGGAAUCUAUUCUAAACUAUAUGAUUAACUGAAUUCAUGCACUUUUAAUUUUCAGUUUGAUCCUUUCAUGAUAAACUUGAUUGAAUAAUUGGCCUGAAAUAUGACUGCCACUUAGUUUUGUAUAGCUAAUGACCAAUUAAUUCCCUUAAAACUUAGCACAAUCAAGAUACUAAAAUGUUAACAAGUAUAGUACUUUCCUUUGAUUGGAAAUUCAAACACAAAUCCAUUUUAC